UCGUAACAAGGUCUCCGUUGGUGAACCAGCGGAGGGAUCAUUACUGAGUUUACGCUCUACAACCCUUUGUGAACAUACCUAUAACUGUUGCUUCGGCGGGUAGGGUCUCCGNGACCCUCCCGGCCUCCCGCCCCCGGGCGGGUCGGCGCCCGCCGGAGGAUAACCAAACUCUGAUUUAACGACGUUUCUUCUGAGUGGUACAAGCAAAUAAUCAAAACUUUUAACAACGGAUCUCUUGGUUCUGGCAUCGAUGAAGAACGCAGCGAAAUGCGAUAAGUAAUGUGAAUUGCAGAAUUCAGUGAAUCAUCGAAUCUUUGAACGCACAUUGCGCCCGCCAGCAUUCUGGCGGGCAUGCCUGUUCGAGCGUCAUUUCAACCCUCAAGCUCUGCUUGGUGUUGGGGCCCUACAGCUGAUGUAGGCCCUCAAAGGUAGUGGCGGACCCUCCCGGAGCCUCCUUUGCGUAGUAACUUUACGUCUCGCACUGGGAUCCGGAGGGACUCUUGCCGUAAAACCCCCAAUUUUCCAAAGGUUGACCUCGGAUCAGGUAGGAAUACCCGCUGAACUUAAGCAUAUCAAUAA
rnacentral:rRNA from 1 species